rnacentral:tRNA from 6 species
GUCACCAUCGUCUAUCCGGUUAGGACGGCGGCCUCUCAAGCCGUUAAGACGGGUUCAAAUCCCGUUGGUGACGCCA